AUUGAACGCUGGCGGCAGGCCUAACACAUGCAAGUCGAGCGAGCGGCGGACGGGUGAGUAAUGCCUAGGAAUCUGCCCGGUAGUGGGGGACAACUACGGGAAACGGUAGCUAAUACCGCAUACCUUCAGUUGUGUCUAGAGUGGCGUAGCUAGUAGGUGGGGUAAUGGCUCACCUAGGCGACGAGCCAUAGCUGGUCUGAGAGGAUGACCAGCCACACUGGGACUGAGACACGGUCCAGACUCCUACGGGAGGCAGCAGUGGGGAAUAUUGCACAAUGGGCGCAAGCCUGAUGCAGCCAUGCCGCGUGUGUGAAGAAGGCCUUCGGGUUGUAAAGCACUUUCAGCGGAGAGGCGUUACCCGCAGAGGAAGCACCGGCUAACUCCGUGCCAGCAGCCGCGGUAAUUC
rnacentral:rRNA from 1 species